rnacentral:lncRNA from 1 species
AGGUUCGUACGAAGUUCGUUCUGAAAUGCAGUGGUUGGUGUAUUGUAUAGUUCUAGAGAUUGUAUUUCACUCAAAACCCACCAAAUGACUCCUCCCACAAUAUUAUGAUGUUCCCCAAGUUUUGGACUCAAUCCGAUAUCGAUUGGUCCUUGAAAUCGGACAAUUCAGGUUCGUACGAAGUUCGUUCUGAAAUGGGGUGGUUGGUGUAUUGUAUAGUUCUAGAGAUUGGAUUCACUCAAAACCCAACCAAAUGACUCCUCCCACAAUAUUAUGGCGUUCCCCAAGUUUUGGACUCAAUCCAAUAUCGAUUGGUCUUGAAAUCGGACAAUUCAGGUUCGUACGAAGUUCGUUCUGAAAUGGGGUGGUUGGUGUAUUGUAUAGUUCUAGAGAUUGGAUUUCACUCAAAACCCACCAAAUGACUCCUCCCAAAAUAUUAUGAUGUUCCCCAAGUUUUGGACUCAAUCCGUUACCGAUUGGUCAAUGAAAUCGGACAAUUCAGGUUCGUACGAAUUUCGUUCCGAAAUGGGGUGGUUGGUGUAUUGUAUAGUUCUAGAGACUGGAUUUCACUCAAAACCCACCAAAUGACUCCUCCCACAAUAUUAUGAUGUUCCCCAAGUUUUGGACUCAAUUCGUUAUCGACUGGUCAAUGAAAUCGGAAAAUUCAGGUUGGUACGAAGUUCGUUCUGAAAUGGGGUGGUUGGUGUAUUGUAUAGUUCUAGAGAUUGGAUUUCACUCAAAUCCCACCAAAUGACUCCUAACAAAAUAUUAUGGUGGUCCCCAACUUUUGGACUCAAUCCGUUACCGAUUGGUCAAUGAAAUCGGACAAUUCAGGUUCGUACGAAGUUCAUUCUGAAAUGGGGUGGUUGGUGUAUUGUAUAGUUCUAGAGAUUGGAUGUCACUCAAAACCCACCAAAUGACUCCUCCCACAAUAUUAUGAUGCUUCCCAAGUUUAGAACUCAAUUCGUUAUCGAUUGGUCAAUGAAAUCGGACAAUUCAGGUUCGUACGAAGUUCGUUCUGAAAUGGGGUGGUUGGUGUAUUGUAUAGUUCUAGAGUUUGGAUUUCUCUCAAAACCCACCAAAUGACUCCUUCCACAAUAUUAUGGCGUUCCCCAAGUUUUGGACUCAAGCCGAUAUCGAUUGGUCUUUGAAAUCGGACAAUUCAGGUUCGUACGAAGUUCGUUCUGAAAUGGGGUGGUUGGUGUGUUGUAU